UACGAAGGGUGCAAGCGUUACUCGGAAUUACUGGGCGUAAAGCGUGCGUAGGUGGUGAGUUAAGUCUGAUGUGAAAUCCCCGGGCUCAACCUGGGAAUGGCAUUGGAUACUGGCUCGCUAGAGUGCGGUAGAGGGUGGUGGAAUUCCCGGUGUAGCAGUGAAAUGCGUAGAGAUCGGGAGGAACAUCUGUGGCGAAGGCAGCCCCCUGGGCUGACACUGACGCUCAGGCACGAAAGCGUGGGGAGCAAACAGG
rnacentral:rRNA from 1 species